GCGAAAAAUCACCAAAUGCAAAAGAAAAAUAGACGGCAUAGGACGUAAUAGUUUAAUCAAAAUGACUCGGACUUUAUUAAUAUUUUUUAUAUCGGUAACAAUAAUGGAUCAAUUAAUCAAGAGUAGCGUGAACGGAGUUAGUAACAACAAUUUAAAUGAUGAAGUAGAACACGAAAGUACCAGUACUUUCCAGCAAAGACUGAAAAUGCUACCUAUAAAAGUAUUUUUGCAAGCAUUGAAAACCAAAAAUGCACUAUCGAAUGGAAUGUCCAAAACAAUGCAGUUAAACGGCAGAAUGGUGGAGGGUUUACAGGAGUCAUCUGGAGCACUCGUUGGUCUUGUUAAAGAUGGCAUUGGCGAUUUGCGUACCUUAGUUUUUGGGAAUUAAUAAUUACCACCCAUAUUUUCGUCCAUUGUUUCGUCCGCGUGGAUUAAGAUCUUAAAAAAAUCCUG